CAGCCCCACCUGGCUUUGAAGCUUGUGGUCAGUGGCCUUGGAGCGAGCUCGUCGUGGGGAUGCAAACAAGAGUUUGACAAACAAAACCCCAAACCCAGUUGCUUAUUAAAAUCCACAUACAUCGCUCUUCUCGAAUACACCCCAUCCCCCAAAGUCCCUGCCCUUCGUUUUAUUAUCCCCUUUGCUCUGUCUCUCUGAAGUCCUAGUCUUUCCUCAUCAUUUCGUGCAUAUAGAUUUGGUGGUGGGUUUUGUGUCUUAUUCUAAGUUGGAUUUUUGUUUAUGAGGUUUUAGUUGGGUUUGGUUUUUGGUUGCUGGCUCGGGAAGUCUGCACAUGGACCUUUUGUUGUUAUAUAUUGGUUAGUGUCGGAGACAUGAGAGUGGAAGGGAUUUAUAAGUAUGCGAACACUUUGUGACGCUUGCGAGAGCGCGGCCGCUAUCGUGUUUUGCGCUGCCGAUGAGGCCGCUCUCUGCCGUUCCUGCGACGAAAAGGUUCACAUGUGCAACAAGCUUGCUAGCCGGCAUGUACGGGUUGGUCUCGCAAAUCCCAGUGAUGUUCCCCGUUGUGACAUAUGUGAAAAUGCACCUGCUUUCUUUUACUGUGAGGUGGAUGGAAGUUCCCUGUGUUUGCAAUGUGACCUGAUUGUUCAUGUUGGAGGAAAGCGAACACAUGGAAGAUAUCUUCUGUUUAGGCAGAGAGUUGAGUUCCCAGGAGAUAAAGCUGGUCUUCUUGAAGAGCCAGCCAUGCACCCCGUGGGUCCAGGUGAGAACAGAAGAGGACAAAACCAGCCUCCUAAACUGACAAUGGGAGAGAACCAGCAAAAUCAGAGGGCCUCUUCUGUUCCAAAUUCAGAUGCAAAUGCUGAUGGGCAUUCAAAGAUGGAUAAAAUGAUUGAUUUGAAUAUCCAGCCUCACCGAAUGCAUGAACAGGCGUCAAACAAUCAGGGACAUAAAGAGAUCCCACGCUUUUUUGGAACUCAUUUGGUCCAGAGCUGUCCCAUCCCGUUCCAGAACUGUCCCAGCCCGUUGUUUGAGCUUCGUCAUCCCGUUUCUAGUGUUUUUGUCCUGUUCAUUUGAGCUUUUUCAUCCCCUUUCGUGUGCUUCUAUAAGUGUCAUUUGGUUGUCUGCUGCUAUUGACAUUUGGUUUGCUUCCUGAAAUUUAUAUAUGCAAAACCCAGCAUAAAAAAUUAUACCCAAUGUCUGCAAAACGAUCAAAAAUAUAACUCUCGUCGCUUCCCUCAUGCUUCUCUUCCCUUCUUGGCCACGAAGAUGACGGGCUUCGCCUUUGCCCACGGCCAGGAGGAGCAGCACAAACCCAAAAACUUCAAUAUUUUCUGUCUGUUCCUAUUCGAAAUAAAGCUGUUCCUUGUGAUUGUAAGUAUAGUAGUGUUGUGCCAAAGUUUGAUGACG